ACUACGUUGGCCUCGGGUCGGACAAGGCUACCCGCUGAACUUAAGCAUAUC
rnacentral:rRNA from 1 species